ACUUAAAGAGGACGGCAGAUCAAGAGCAUCUCAUCCUCCGGCUGCUGAGUCAUCCUGCUCUGGCAGUUAUUUAAACAGAAGGCUCCAGGAGACAUACAAUCAACACUCCACUCAGACAAUGCCCAGACCUCCAGAAACCAUGUGUCAAGCUCGGAUUGCCUUAGACAGGUGCAAUUUAAGAACAGCUUUCAUCCUCUUUUCUCUCAUAUUGUCACACUAUGUGUUCUGACUUCUGGCUCCUUUCCUCACAAGAAGCUCACCCAGCUGGAACUCUUAUGGGACCUUGGCACCAGAGACCACAAAUUCCUCUUUGAAGUUUUCUAACAGCAACAAUGGAGUUUGUCUAGCAGAGGAGUCUGUCAUGUAAUCAGGAAACUCCAGUACACAACGUGAUAGCUCUAAGACAGGUAUAUACAAGAUGAUGUUCUGGACCUUAACUGUUUGGGGAGUACUACUGCCUUUGUCUAAAAGCCAUCACCCUUUUUAUAUGCCAUUUGGGAGGAACUGGGGGGACGUGGGAGGCUUCAAAGGGUUAUGGGAGGAUGGACAUUUUAAAAGGGCUUUUCUUUUCUUUUUUUUUUUUUGAGACAGAGUUUCGCUCUGUCGCCCAGGCUGGAGUGCAGUGGCGCGCGAUCUCGGUUCACUGCAAGCUCCACCUCCCGGGUUCACGCCAUUCUCCUGCCUCAGCCUCCUGAGUAGCUGGGACUACAGGCGCCCGCCACCACACCCAGGUAAUUUUUUGCAUUUUUAGUAGAGACGGGGUUUCACCGUGUUAGCCAGGAUGGUCUCGUUCUCCUGACCUCAUGAUUCACCCGCCUUGGCCUUCCAAAAUGCUGGGAUUACAGGCGUGAGCCACUGUGCCCUGCCAAAGGCCUUUUCAAAUCUAACGAUGUACUCACAUUUCCACCUGUCUGCCAGCCCUUGUCCAGUUUGACCUGGGCACUCACUGCUGCUCUGGUGGUGAGUACUGCUGAUGGUUCUUUUCCCUGCCCAUCCUUGAGGUGCUCGCUUCAAUAUGUCAAAUGAGGACUCUCAUUACAUUUGGCUGUCAUACAUCAGCCACAACUGUCCUGCCCAGAAGAGCUGGCCUUGGCUUUAAAGCCUACAUCCUGGCUGACCUUCUUUACUGCUUUAUUAAGGAAUCCAACUUGCUGUUUGCUAUCACAUGUGCUAUACAUGCUGUUGAUGAAACUGCUAAAGGGGCUGAAUGUGACUGACGUCUUUGGAAGGAUGAGACUUAGCGUGCCUGUACAGUUGUGUCCAAAUGCUGUCCUCAUCUCCCAAUGAAAAGGGUUUUUCCUUAAGCCUCACAACAAUUUACAGCAUUGCCAGCAGCAUUCAGUACAUUCAGAACAGGAUAAUUUCACCCGCAGCUGAACUAGGGCCAUGCCUGGGACAGACAGAGAAUGGCCUUCCAGCAGACAUGCCAAGAAGCAAGCCAGGGUCAGUGAGUGAAGAGGAGGGCAGGCCCAUUUGAAGCAACACAGUUUAUAUACAUGAAAAGAAAGAAGGAGAGAAGGAAGAAAGGAGGGCGGAAGGAAAGGAAGAAGGGAGAGAAGAAGAGAAGAAAGAAGCAGAGAAAGGAAGAGAAAAGAAAUUACGGCCAGUGCGGUGGCUCACGCCUGUAAUCCUAGCACUUUGGGAGGCCUAAGCGGGCUGAUCACCUGAGGUCAGGAGUUCGUAAGCCAGCCUGGCCAACAUGGUGAAACCCUAUCUCUACUAAAAAUACAAAAAUCAGCAGGGCAUGGUGGUGCGUGCCUGUAAUCCCAGCUACCUGGGAGGCUGAGGUAGGAGAAUCGCUGGAACCCGAGAGGCGGAGGCUGCAGUGAGUUGAGAUCAUGUCACUGCACUCCAGGCUGGGCAACAGAGUGAGACUCUGUCUCAGAAAAAAAAAAAAAGAAAGAAAGAAAGAAAGAAAGUUACCAUUAGUUUUUUGUUGUAUUUGCAAGCAAAGACAAAAGCACCAAGGUACUUGUUUCCUUCUGUAAUUAGAGUUUCAAAUAGACUAAAAGUUUCUGCUCUUAGGUGGGUCUAGAGACUCUCCAGUACCUCAGGACCUCAGGACACAUGGGGUCUCUUGGUUGUUUUCUUUUCAUUGUUGUUGUUUAUUUUAUUUUUGUUUUUAUUUUUUAACUUUAAAACAAUUUUUUGUAGAUGAAUAUGCUUACAUAUGUUUGGGGGUUUUUUUGAGACAGGGUCUUGCUCUGUUGCCCAGGCUGGAGAGCGGUGGUUUAACCACAGCUCACUGCAGCCUCGACCUCCCAAGGUAGGGACUGCAGGUGUGUACACUGGGGUGCACCACCACACCCAGCUAAUUUUUAAAUUUUUUUUUGUAGAUAUUGUCUCACUCUGUUGGCCAGACUGGUCUUGAAAUCCUGGGCUCGAGCAAUUCUCCUGCCUCGGCCUCGUAACGCGUUAGGAUUACAAGCGUGAACACCGCACCUGGCCAGCAUGUGGUCUCUUAACCAGAGGAGGCCUCUUCUGAACUAGGUAGAGGUCCUGAGAAUUGAUUCUGAGAGUAAAAGGCUCUUUGUUCUCCUCAGAGUAGAUUAGAAUCCCUAAUGAUAGAGCAUCUAUUAUUCCUCUAGUGGUCCAUGCCCAACAGAUUCAUCCAAGAAUAGAUGAAGAUCUUUGUAAUGUUGUGCAAGUAAUCUAAUCACCCCACAGAAGAGCUGUGACUUAAAUUAUCCCAGAGUCGGCCCACCUGUUUUCAUAAAGAUCAAUGUAACUUGUAAAUUUCUUCAGUUCUCCUCACCUAUCAUCAUUUGACUAACAAAACCCAGAAAACUAGGCUAGUUAUGGUGGCCUAUGCAUAUAAUCCCAACUCUUUGAGAGGCCAGGGUGGGUGGAUUGCUUGAGUCCAGGAAUUCGAGACCAGCCUGGGCAACAAAGGGAGACCCUGCCUAUAUCCCAGCUAUGCAGGAGGCGAGGCCAGAGGAUUGCCUGAGCCUCAGAGGUUGAGGCUGUAGUGAGCCAUGAUUGCCCCACUACACUCCAGCCUGGAUGACAGAGUGAGACCCUGCCUUAAAAAUAAUAAUAAUAGUAAUAAUAUUUCAUAAAGAUACAGGAAACUAGAUUAUAAUUGACAUUUUCAAAGUGAAAUACUGUCUAGAAUGGUGCUUGGCCAACAGUAAGCUUUUUGUAAGUGGAAGUCAUUACUACUACUAUUUCUUUCAUUAUUAUUACCAUUACUACUUUUUUUUACAAAAAAAAAACCCUGGACAACACACUGAAACCAUUACUACUUCUACUACUAUAACUUAGGUUGCACCUGAUAGAGCCAGCAAUUUUUCCAAGGUAUGACAAUGGCCAUAUGUUUAAUGAUAUAAUUCUAUGGCUCAGUGUAUCUCAGCCUUUUUAAACCCUGCUCUUCUUUUGACAAUUGUAAAAAUCUUAAACUGACCUCCAGUUGAAAUCCUCUGUCAAGAAGAUAUUGUCGGCCAGGGGCGGUGGCUCACACCUGUAAUCCCAGCACUUUUGGAGGCCGAGGUGGGAGGAUCACUUGAGGUUAGGAGUUCAAGACCAGCCUGGCCAACAUAGUGAAACCCCAUCUCUACUAAAAAUACAAAAAUUAGGCAGGCAUGGUGGUGUGUGCCUGUAAUCCCAGCUACUCAGGAGGCUGAGGUAGGAGAAUUGCUUGAACCUGGCAGGGCAGAGGUUGCAGCAAGCCGAGAUCACGCCACUGCUCUCCAGCCUGGGUGAGACUGUCUCAAAAAAAAAAAAAAAAAAGAAAGAAAGUAAGAAAAAGAAGAAAUCCCAAUCUCUUCUUUUAUGUGGAUUCUUCCUCACUUGAAUAAUACUUUUCUUCCCCAGUAUUCUCCAUAUUAUCCCAGAGUCAGCCCCUCUGUUUUUGUAAAGAUCUACGUAACCUCCUCUAAGUUUCCCAGUUCUCCUCACCUAUCAUAUCAUUUGGCUCAACAAAGGGCAGGAAGCUAGAUUCUAAUUGAUAUUUUGAGGCCGGGAGCAGUGGCUCAUGCCUGUAAUCACAGCACUUUGGGAGGCUGAGGCGGGCAGAUCACUGGAGGUCAGGAGUUCGAGACCAGCCUGGCCAAUAUGGUGAAACCUCGUCUCUACUAAAAAUACAAAAAAUUAGCCAGGCUUGGUGGCUUGUACCUGUAAUCCCAGCUACUCAGGAGGCUGAGGCAGGAGAAUAGCUUAAACCUGGGAGGAAGAGGUUGCAGUGAGCCGAGAUUGCUCAAUUGCACCCCAGCCUGGGUGACAGAGCAAAACUCCAUCUCAAAAACAAACAAACGAACAAACCUGAUAUUUUCAAAAUUGAGGCAAUUAUAACAGCUAUUUAGCCAAGCAUUAUGAUAGCAAUAAUAGCAAGAAAAUAAAUUAGUUAACAAAUGAGUCUCAGAAGCCCAAUGAUUUUUAUUUUAUUUUUAUUUUUUGAACUUUUAUUUUAGAAUCAGGGGAUACAUGUGCAGGUUUGUUACCCGGGUAUAUUGCAUGAUGCUGAGUUUUGGAGUAUGCAUGAAUCCAACCUGUCAUCCAGGUAGUGAGUAUAGUACCCAACAGAUAGUUUUUUUAACAUUUACUUCACUCCCUUCCCCAAUCUUGUAUUCCCCUGUGUCUACUGUUCCCAUUUUUAUGACUGUGCCAACAAUAAUUUUUUUUCUUUUUUCUUUAAAUAGAGAUGGGGGUCUCUAUUUAAAGAGCCUCCCAAAGUGCUAGGAUUACAGGUGUGAUCCAUUGCACCUGGCCCAUGCCAACAAUAUUUGAAACCCUUAUCUGCGUGUACAAGUUUGCUACUGGUUUUGUUUUGCUCAUUAAUACAUCCCAAGCAUCUAUACCUGGCUUGUAGUACCAGCAUGUAGUAGGUGCUUAAUAAAUAUUUAUUGAAUAAAUAAAUUAGUUUGACAUUAGUUUAACAUCUCAAGUAAAACAAAAUACCAUUCAAUUAAUUCUCUUCUUCUACUUUUUUCUUUUAAGAGAGACAAAUAGUCACACAUACAUCAGCAGGAGAGGAUACAAUUUCCUGUGUUUAAGUUUUUAUGAGUUACUUUAGUUCAAAUGUCACAGAAAAUUAUAUUGAACUCUUGACCAAUCUAUCUAUUUUUUCCAUUGGAGUAUUGACCCAAAUAAGAAAUAGCAUAAAGGAAAAAUUAUUUUUUGGCAGAAAAAUAUUCUCUCUAAAUUCUUGUGUGUUUUGUUUUGAUUUUUUCCUUAGUGACUGGAGGCCAGUUUCAAUCCACUGAAGCACAGAUUCCAAAUUUUCAAUCUGGUUUUCUUGAGUAGUGACUGAGUGCCAAAAAUGAAGCAAUGACACAACAUCACCAUCAAGACACUCCCCAGCACGCACACACAUGCCAGAGUCCAACACCAAGAUACUCCCCAGCACGCACACACACGCCAGAGUCCAGGCCAUAUUCGGGUGGCUUGCAAGCUUCUUCCCCCCAAGUAUUUACUCUCAAAAUAAUGGUUUUUGUUUUGUUUUGGUUUGGUUUGGUUUGUUUUUUUCCAAAUACAUUUCUUCCCUAUAUCUUUAACCAAUUCUCAUAAAAUUUUGUCUAAUACACUGGUCAGUGUAUUCCAGACCCUAAAAGAUAACAUAAUGAAACUAUCUAUGACUAAAAGGUAAUCAGGAUCUUCUACUUAUCCUUUUUUCCUCCCUCUUAAACUUUAAUUUUGAUACAUUUGGGAGUGAAAUGAUGACAAUAAAUGCAAAGUAAUUAUUGAAGAAACAGUAAUUUUGUAUUAGCUUACUGAAAAAAAAAAAAAAGAUAACCAAAUAUAUUUUGGCAGCCCCAAACGAGUCACAUGUGAAAUGCAGUGGGAGAGCAGUGUCCUGAAGGAAAAGGUGGCCUGCUGGACAGCCAAGAGAACAAACAUCCACUGCAAGUAAUAUGAGCUCUAAGUUUGGACUAGGCCUAUGUCUGCUCUGAGACUUGGGGCAAUUCACUUAAUCAGAGCCUUAAUCAGCUACGGACUAGCAAUAUCCAUACCCGCUACUUAUUUUGUAAAUCUCCUUUCUAAAGUUAACUCUAUUUAUUGUUCCAUAAUCCCAUAAAUUCUAGAAUCUUUUCCUGUUAUAGCCAAGUUGUCUAUCAUUGACAGAGAUAUUCACCUGGUUGUUUUGGCUUCUCUAAUCCUCCUGGUGAGAACACCUCCAAGGGAGCUUUCAGUGGCAUUUAAGGUCACUUGUGCUCUUGGUCCUAGAAACUGCCUUGAUAGUGGUUUUAGCUCACAUGAGGUAAGUCUUUAUUAUAUGCCCAACCUCUUUAUGCAUUACUUCAUUUAAUUGUAUACUAAUCCUUUGUCAUAGGUUAUCAGAGUGUUUGAUUAUAAGUUACAGGAAGAAAAAAAAAAACAAACUCCAAUUGACUAAAACAAUGGGGCAUUUUUUGACUCACAUAACAGAGAGUCUAGAGAGAAGGCACCUUCAGGUUUGGCUGAUGAAUCCUGUAUCUCUGCCUUGUCUCCAGGCCCCCAGGUUCUGCCUCUGUCCUGACAUCCAGUGUUGGAUUCCUCUUCACAUCAACUCCUCUCUGUAGGUUGGGCCAUCAGACCCUACCUCCUUAUUUAUGUUGAGCAAAGGAGAGAGAAUGCCUCUACAAACAAUGAAAAAAGUGAAAAAAAAAAUCUUUCUCCUCCUUAUAACUUUAGUUAGCUUAACUUUAGUCAGUUGCUUAGCUACUAAACAGUAGCUAUUGGGAGGUGGGAAGGAAUACUAUUGUGUAAUCAACUAAGGCUCAUACAGAGGAUUAGGGUUAUCUGAAUUGAUUUGAAUUAAUUAGAAUUUACUCUCAGAGCUGUGGCAAUUCCUUGAACCACACUGAUUGCUAUAAAGUGGAAGAGGAAUAGAUUGAAUUUUGGGGAGUCAACUACAAUGUGUACUACAGGUAAAUACUAUGAAUUUCCAAUUCACAGAUGAGAAAACUGAGGCAUGUGGUGGGAGGGAGGUUAUGUAAUUUGCCCAGUGUCACAGUUGAACCUAGGCAAAGGCCUAUCUCCAGGUCUAAACAAUUCAGUGGCCUCCUGUGUACAUUUCUGUCUCUCCUUUUUUAUCCACUGUGUCACCGAGGCUGGAUUGCAGUGGCUCGAUCAUGGAGAUCAUGGCUUUCUGUAGCCUUGAACUCCUGGGCUCAAGUGAUCCUCCUGCCUCAGCUUCCUGAGUGGCUGGGACUACAGGCUUGACAACACACCCGGCUAUCCCGUGUAUAUUUCUUGAGGGCUUAUGAUAUAUAAGAGAAACUCCAAAAUAAGAGGACGGUGUGCUAAGGGGAAGACCAAAGCACUAUCAAGAGGUAGAUUCAAUCGUACCCCUUCUAUUUACUAGUUGUGUGACUCUUUUGAAAAUGAGAAUAAUAGGCCAGGCUCGGUGGCUCCUGCCUGUAAUCCCAGCACUUUGGGAGGCUGAGGCAGGUAGAUCACCUGAGGUUAGAAGUUCAAGACCAGCCUAGCCAACAUGGCAAAACCCCAUCUCUAUUAAAAAUACAAAAAUUAGCCGGGAAUGGCAGCAUGUGCCUGUAGUUCCGGCUACUCAGGAGGCUGAGGCAGGAGAAUCACUUGAACCCAGGAGGCAGAGGUUGCAGUGAGCCGAGAUUGCGCUACUGCACUUCAGCCUGGGUGACAGCGAGACUCCAUCUCAAAAAAAAAAAAAAAGGAAGAAAAGAAAAGAAAAUGGGAAUAAUAAAACUUACUUACUGGAGCAGUAGCAAAGAUUAAAAUUUAGACCAUGCAGAAGAAUGUUUUUCAAAAUGACAUGACCUGGUAAUAGGAUAGAAAUGCAAAUUCCUGUUACUGCACCAGACCCACCAAAUAAGAAACUCUGGGGAUGGGACCCAGGACUAAGUACUUUAAUAAGCACUCCAGGUGAUUCUAAUGAUUGUUAAAGUUUGAGAACCACUGGUCUAACACAUUGCCUGGUACAUAAGCUCUUAUUUUGUUGUUAUUGUUCUAAGGACAAUGUGUGUAUUGACUUCUAUUUCCAGGAGUUCAUGACUUGGAGAACUAGGGAAAGGAAGACAAAAAUUCUUUAAUGCAGAACGAUACUGAUUGAUAAAUACCUGAAUAUAAUACAGGUUAAAUGUGCUUUGAAGAUUUAUAAAAGGUUGAAUUUAUUUCCAGCAAGAUGACUCUCAGAAGCCUUUAUAGAUUAGAGAAGAAAUGGAAAGGGGUAAAAAUAAUUAGGAACUAUAAAGCAGGGCAGACAAGUUUUCAAUGGUUACUGCCAAUGUGUAUACAGAAAGUUAGCUUGGCCAGGCAAAGUGGCUCAUGCUUGUAAUAUCAGCACUUUGGGAGGCCAAGGCGGGCAGGUCACCUGAGAUCAGGAGUUUGAGACCAGCCUGACCAACAUGGUGAAACUCUAUCUCUACUAAAAAUACACAAUUAGCCCAGCAUGGUAGAGCAUGCCUGUAAUCCCAGCUACUCAGGAGGCUGAGGCAGGAGAAUCGCUUGUACUUGGGAGGCAAAGGCUGCAGUGAGCUGAGAUCGUGCCAUUGCACUCCAUCCUGGGAAACAAGGGUGAAACUCCGUCUCCAGAAAAAAAAAAGUUACCUUGAAAUAUAUCAAUACAAACAAAUAAAUUAGAUAUUUCAUAUUGUACAGGAACAAAACCCAUCAGAAGAUGUCAGAAGAUAAGGAUUUUUGUCCUGAUGCUACACUUACCAGCUGUCCCUCAGUGUUCUACUUCUUAAAAAAAGAGAGGUUGGUCCUGAUCCCUGGUUCUUAACCAGGGGAAAAUGAAGUGGGGCCAGGGCAUGUGCAGACUUAAAAAUUACACAGGGGAAUGUAGGCACGAUCUGUUUAAGAAAUACUGGACUAAAUGGUCUCUAAUCUGUGAUUGUAGAUUAAAGAAUAAUCUACAAUCUACACCGUGUUGGCCAGGCACGGUGGCUCACACCUGUAAUUCCAGCACUUUGGGAGGCUGAGGUGUGUGGAUCACAUGAGGUCAGGAGUUCGAGACCAGCCUCACCAAUGUGGCAAAACCCCCUCUCUACUAAAAAUACGGAAAAUUAGCUGGGUGUGGUGGUGCAUGUCUGUAGUCCCAGCUACUCGGGAGGCUAAGGCAUGAGAAUUGCUUGAACCUGGGAGGUGGAGGUUGCAGUGAGCCAAAAUCACGCCACUGCACUCCAGCCUGGGUGACAGAGUGAGACUCUGUCUCAAAAAAAAAGAAAAAAUAAAUAAUCAAAUGUAAAGUUAGCACAUAAAGGAGGCAUGUACAUAUUAUUAAAAUCUAUAUGACUACCUCUCCUUUUUCAUUUUUGGCUCAAUAUCUGUAUCUGAACACCUAAUUAAUGAAAGGAAAACAUUUGUAAUAUGUAGCAACUAAAAUGUCACCUUCUCUGUGGGGAUCACAAAGUCCUUGGCAAUCACUUCCAUACCAGACAAGUGAGUAUUGUCCUUCUCCUUUUCCAGAUGGAUAAACAGAGGCAACCCGAGGAUAAAGGCCUUGCUCAGUGUCACACAUUUCAGUCACUAAAUAAGACACAAUGGAUGCCAGUAUUCUCAUCCCCUCACAAAUAAAGAGCCUUCAAGCUCUUGCAGUCAACAAGAACUUUUGGAAUGAUUUCACUGCCUGAAAAGGCAGAUACAUAGGUGACACCCACAAAUAGGAAGAAAAUCAACCUGAACCUGAGUGUGUGGGCUCACUGACUCUAAGCAGUAGAGACAGAAGAAAAAGUUUUAGCAAAGAAGGGUUCUGAAAGAAAAUAAAUAUAGCUCGUUAUCAAGUGCUGUUUUUACACAGUAAAACAUGGGCAAAAUUACUCUUCUUUAAGUAGUAAUUCUUAUCUCUUGAUUAAGUCACCUACUCAUUCAUUUAAUAAAUACAUACUGAUUGUUUUCUAUGUGUUGAGCACUCAUCUCUGUAUUGGAAAUAUAAUAAUGACCAAAGUUGACAAUAGUAAUAACAAUAAUAGCUAAUAUAGCAGGCACUAAUAAUUAUUUGUUGAGUAAUAUGUCAAAAUUCAGUGUGAACAGCAUUCUAUUUGGGGCUGCAUCCACUGACUAUAACACAGCUAAUCUAUCUGAAAUGUUCCAGCUUUGGGCCUCUCUAACAGAAGAAGCUGUUGUUGGGCCUGCCUCUAGUUGGCGAUGCAUCCACCAAUGAGAAUGAAUUUAUGAUCGACCACUCUUCCUGUAAAGGCCGCUGGAACUGACAGCAUUGUGAUUUUCUUUUACUGUUAGUUUUAAAUUACUAGAACCAACUCAAUUACUAGAACGAACUUUACUUCUUUGUUUCCUACUUAUCAAAACAGUAAAAACAACAAGUAAAAGAAAUGCCAUCUUAAUAUUGUUUUGAUGACAAAACAGUAUUCCUUUUAGUUGUGCUUCAAAUGGAAUAAGAUGCAAACAGGCUUGGUAUGGUGGCUCACCCCUGUAAUCCCAGCCCUUUGGGAGGCCAAGGUGGAAGGAUUGCUUGAGGCCAUGAGUUUGAGACCAGCCUGCGCAACAUAGCAAGACCGUGUCUCUACAAAAAAUAAAAAAUUAGCUGAGUGUAGUGGUGUGUGCUUGUGGUCCCAGCUACUUUUGAGGCUGAGGAGGGAGAAUCUCUUGAGCCCAGAAGGUCGAAGUUGCAGUGAGCCGUGAUCGUGCCAUUGCUCUCCAGCUUGGACAACAAAGCAAGACCCUAUGUCAAAAAAUAAAUAAAUAAAAGACAUAAACAUAUCUGAGAUUAACUUUCAGUGGUAAAUUUGUUCCAUAUAUGAUUUUUAAGGUUAAAUGCUUUGGAAGCUUUAAAAACCAUUUCAGCCCUUUUAAAUGCCAACUUACACUGAUGAUGCUCUCAGAUGUUAGGAAAUCUUUUGAGCAGAAAAUGGAAGUGGGGGUGUUGAGGCAGGGAGGAGAGUGAUGCAAUAUUCCUUAGUGUCAUCCUGUGAUUUCACAAUUUGUUUUUCAAUCUGUUUGGACUUUCAAAAGGGAAGACUCUCAUAUGUCAACAAGCCCAUGAACUGAAGCUUAAAACACUGGAAACAACAACUGUAGAGUUUCAAGUAUAUGUACAUUUAUGUAUUCAUGUUCCUUGAUGGGAAUGCUGGCUGGUGUGAAUGUUCAAUCUCCUGAGAAAUGUAAAUUUUUCUCUGACAGAUUUAUUAGCUUGCUGUAUCUGAGCACAUGAGCAAAAACAAUGCCUAAUAAGAAAACUUUCUCUCUCCUUCAAAGUCAAACUUGGGAGAAAUGAAGGGAAAUCGAGUUUUCUUUGCUUGACAGUGUUCAACAUUCUUGUAGUCAGUGUGCUCAUGAAGAUUGCAAACUUUUUUUUUUUUUUAGAGCAGCUAGGACUACAGGCGCGCACCACCACACCCAGCUAAUUUGUGUAUUUUUAGUAGAGAUGGGGUUUUAACUAUGUUGGCCAAGCUUGUCUCAAACUCCUGACCUCAAGUGAUCCAUUCGACAGCUCUUUCUUUUUUUUUUUUUUUUUUGAGACAAAGUCUCGCUCUGUCACCCAGGCUGGAGUGCAGUGGUAUGAUCUCAGCUCACUGCAACCUCCGCCUCCUGGGUUCAAGCAAUUCUCAUGCCUUAGCCUCCCGAAU
rnacentral:lncRNA from 1 species